rnacentral:lncRNA from 1 species
CCCAACCAGCUGUAUGACCUCGGUCACAUUUUAUUAUGUUAAAAGGAACUUACUAGCUCCUGCCUCACAGGAUUGAAAAUGAGACGGUGUUUGCAGCCCUUAACUUGGCUCCUGGAAAUAGUGAAGUUCAAGAAAUGGUUCCUUUCAGAGGGGAGCAACAACGUUCCUUUCACAGAGGUUAUUCAUCAGGCUGAGCCCAGAACAAGUUGACUGUAGGACAUUGGAAAGCAUCCAUGAGUGUUUGGCAAACAGAAUUGCCUUGAUCCGCUCUUGAACUGGUUGGUGGUUUUCUUUAGAUGGAGGCUGAGCUACACACGAAACCACCAGAAUCAGGAAGCUGCUGUGAUCAGGAAGUCUCCAUUACAGCUUCUGGAUCUCUGGAGCCUCCUGAAAUCCACAUCCUCAAGAUGGAUGGUGUGGGCCCUCCUUCGACACCUCCAAGGCUAUGCAGCGGCCACACACUGGGACCUCUGUUCAUCCUGGUGAAGAACUGUCCAGUGACUCCUUGAUCAAGCUUGCCAGCAAAACAGCAGAAGCGGCAGAAACGAAACUGGAACCAACGAAGUGCACCAUGAGAACCUAAAUUAUAUUUAGAACUUUGCUUCAGGGAAAUCUGAGAAAAACAAUCUUGUGGUGUUCCACCUCUCCGAAAGAGGAAGGUACACUAAAAGGAGCUUGGAAUGGCUGCUGAGCACCAACCCACUCCAUAUUACACCUUUGGCUGUUAAACACUCAUAUAUUCUCUUUCCUAAAUUGAGCUUCCAUGAAAACACAGGUCCUCACUAAUAUUCAAACACAUUUUCCUGCUCCUCAAAGGGAGACCUACACUUCUCAGUAUCCAUGUCUGGGCAAUGUUUAUUUUUCCCCUGUAACCUAGUCAUGACCCAUUUUUGAUGUCCUACAACCGGUGUUCUAGAGGAGAGUUAAUCCUGACCCAAAACUCCUUCAUAGAACAGUAAGGGGAAGGGGGAAGGAAUAAAAAGGAUAGUUAUUAAUAGAUGUAAAUAAUAGAAAGGAAAACUAGGAGCUACAGCACUACAGUCCUCACAUGUGGUCUUAGUCAGGAGUCGUCAUUGGUAUUUGUGACUUCUUCCUCUUCUUCCCAUUCACUGUAGUCUUUGCACCCAGGCAAUUGCUCAGAGCCCUGGACUUCAUUGCCUGGUGACAUGAAACCUUUCUUCCUGAGGACCCUGAGCUCUAGGACUGCUGGAGGCUUCCAUAACUUUGGUCCCUGGAUGUGGCAGUCCUAAGAAGCCAUCCAGAGAAUCAAGUGGCCUUAGCUACCUUAGUUCUCUUUGCUGUUUAGGAGCAACCAUGAAGAGUCCAGUGAUUAAAGAUGAUCUCGACUUCUGGC